UACAGCCAUAUCACAUUGAGACACUGUUUCCAUACUAUCACCAAAGUUAAGCAGCAUUAAGCCUGGUCAGUAUCUAGAUGGGCGACCACUUGGGAAUACUAGGUGCUGUAA